CCUACGGGCGGCAGCAGUGAGGAAUAUUGGUCAAUGGACGAGAGUCUGAACCAGCCAAGUAGCGUGAAGGAUGACUGCCCUAUGGGUUGUAAACUUCUUUUAUAUGGGAAUAAAAUGUUCCACGUGUGGGAUUUUGUAUGUACCAUAUGAAUAAGGAUCGGCUAACUCCGUGCCAGCAGCCGCGGUAAUACGGAGGAUCCGAGCGUUAUCCGGAUUUAUUGGGUUUAAAGGGAGCGUAGGUGGAUUGUUAAGUGAGUUGUGAAAGUUUGCGGCUCAACCGUAGAAUUGCAGUUGAAACUGGCAGUCUUGAGUACAGUAGAGGUGGGCGGAAUUCGUGGUGUAGCGGUGAAAUGCUUAGAUAUCACGAAGAACUCCGAUUGCGAAGGCAGUUCACUGGACUGCAACUGACACUGAGGCUCGAAAGUGUGGGUAUCAAACAGGAUUAGAUACCCCAGUAGUC
rnacentral:rRNA from 1 species